rnacentral:rRNA from 1 species
UACGUAGGGUGCAAGCGUUAAUCGGAAUUACUGGGCGUAAAGCGUGCGCAGGCGGUUGUGCAAGACAGAUGUGAAAUCCCCGGGCUCAACCUGGGAAUUGCAUUUGUGACUGCACGGCUAGAGUGUGUCAGAGGGGGGUAGAAUUCCACGUGUAGCAGUGAAAUGCGUAGAGAUGUGGAGGAAUACCGAUGGCGAAGGCAGCCCCCUGGGAUAACACUGACGCUCAUGCACGAAAGCGUGGGGAGCAAACAAG